rnacentral:rRNA from 1 species
AGAAGUCUGUUCGACUUUUAAAUAAUUACAUGAAUUGAGUUCAGACCGGUGUAAGCCAGGUCGGUUUCUAUCUUUUUAUUAAAUUUUACAGUACGAAAGGACCUAAAAAAUUAAUUUUAUU